AUACGGAGGGAGCAAGCGUUAUUCGGAAUCACUGGGCGUAAAGGACGCGUAGGCGGGUUUGUAAGUCAGGUGUGAAAUCCUACAGCUCAACUGUAGAACUGCACUUGAAACUACAGACCUAGAGUAUGAAAGGGGCAGAUGGAAUUAGUGGUGUAGGGGUAAAAUCCGUAGAUAUCACUAGGAAUACCGAAAGCGAAGGCGAUCUGCUGGGACAUUACUGACGCUGAGGCGUGAAAGCGUGGGGAGCAAACAGGAUUAGAAACCCUGGUAGUCC
rnacentral:rRNA from 1 species